UACGAAGGGUGCAAGCGUUACUCGGAAUUACUGGGCGUAAAGCGUGCGUAGGUGGUGAGUUAAGUCUGUCGUGAAAGCCCCGGGCUCAACCUGGGAAUGGCGAUGGAUACUGGCUCGCUAGAGUGCGGUAGAGGAGAGUGGAAUUCCCGGUGUAGCAGUGAAAUGCGUAGAGAUCGGGAGGAACAUCAGUUGCGAAGGCGGCUCUCUGGACCAACACUGACGCUGAGUGAGCGAAAGCCAGGGGAGCAAACGGG
rnacentral:rRNA from 1 species